CACGGAGUUAGCCGGUGCUUAUUCAUAUAGUACCUUCAGCUACUCUCACGAGAGUAGGUUUAUCCCUAUAUAAAAGCAGUUUACAACCCAUAGGGCAGUCGUCCUGCACGCGGGAUGGCUGGAUCAGGCUUCCACCCAUUGUCCAAUAUUCCUCACUGCUGCCUCCCGUAGGAGUCUGGGCCGUGUCUCAGUCCCAGUGUGGGGGAUCACCCUCUCAGGCCCCCUAAAGAUCGUCGCCUUGGUAAGCCGUUACCUUACCAACUAGCUAAUCUUGUGCGUGCUCAUCCUUAUCCGCCGUAGCUUUUAAUAUGAAAUGAUGCCAUCCCAUAUGUUAUAGGGUAUUAAUCCGGAUUUCUCCGGGCUAUCCCCUUGAUAAGGGCAGAUUGCACACAUGUUCCGCACCCGUACGCCGCUCUCAUCGUUAGUUAGCAAGCUAACCAACGAAUCCCGCUCGGCUUGCAUGUGUUAGGCCUCCGCUAGCGUUCAU
rnacentral:rRNA from 1 species